rnacentral:rRNA from 1 species
GAAACCGAUCAAACCAACCACAGAGCACCUGCGGGCGCUCACUCGGGUGCGUGCGCGCACCCCGGGUGGGGCGGCCCGCCGUCGUAUCUCGGGACCCGGUCCUCCGGGCCCCGCCCAAACCCAACCAACCCUUCUGCCCUGAAGCAGCUUCGCAAGGGGACACCCCGCGCGACAGUAACAGAGACAACUCUCAACAACGGAUAUCUUGGCUCUCGCAACGAUGAAGAACGCAGCGAAAUGCGAUACGUAGUGUGAAUUGCAGAAUUCCGUGAGUCAUCGAAUCUUUGAACGCACAUUGCCGGUCGACUCUUCGGAGGAGACCACAUCUGCCUCAGCGUCGGAAUACCCCCUCACGCCCUCCCGCGUGGACCUAGCCCCCCCGGACUCCUCGAGAGGCCGGGCCGGCUGAAAUGCAGAGGCUCGUGCGCGGCCCACCCCUGUGGCCCCGACUAGGUAGGUAGCUCGCUACUGCUAGGCGGCGGCUCGGUGCCGCGGACUCUGGGCCCCAGAGGAUACCCCUAUUCAAUCGACCUGAGUUCAGGUGAGG